UACGAAGGGGGCUAGCGUUGCUCGGAAUCACUGGGCGUAAAGGGUGCGUAGGCGGGUCUUUAAGUCAGGGUGAAAUCCUGGAGCUCAACUCCAGAACUGCCUUUGAUACUGAAGAUCUUGAGUUCGGGAGAGGUGAGUGGAACUGCGAGUGUAGAGGUGAAAUUCGUAGAUAUUCGCAAGAACACCAGUGGCGAAGGCGGCUCACUGGCCCGAUACUGACGCUGAGGCACGGAAAGCGUGGGGAG
rnacentral:rRNA from 1 species